AUACGUAGGGUGCAAGCGUUAAUCGGAAUUACUGGGCGUAAAGCGUGCGCAGGCGGUUUUGUAAGACAGAGGUGAAAUCCCCGGGCUCAACCUGGGAACUGCCUUUGUGACUGCAAGGCUAGAGUACAGCAGAGGGGGGUGGAAUUCCGCGUGUAGCAGUGAAAUGCGUAGAUAUGCGGAGGAACACCGAUGGCGAAGGCAACCCCCUGGGCCUGUACUGACGCUCAUGCACGAAAGCGUGGGGAGCAAACAGGAAUAGAUACCCUGGUAGUCCACGCCCUAAACGAUGUCAACUGGUUGUUGGGUCUUAACUGACUCAGUAACGAAGCUAACGCGUGAAGUUGACCGCCGGGGGAGUACGGCCGCAAGGUUGAA
rnacentral:rRNA from 1 species